GUAGAGUAGGAGAUCUUUGAAAAACGGUUCCUGUGAGCUAUAUUUUUGAAAAUACACAGCCCGCCUCUCCCUUCAGCCCUCCCCUCAAAGCCACGCCUUCAAAACACAUGAACGCGCAUGCAGUCUGUCAAGUGUUCGGAUUAUCCCGGGAACCCACGAGAGCUCACGAGGCGGGGCUAGAACUAGAAGCCACGUCAAAUCGAUUAGCCAAGCUAACUUCCAGCCAUGGCACUGUCUCCGGCUACGACCUUCCACGACCACGACGAGAGCUCCAGCUUUCCUGGCCCAUCACAAUCAUAACGACCUAACAGCCCAGUAGGACCGAUGGCCAGAGAUGGAGGAGGAGGAAGAUAGACGCAGCAGAGGUCGGGGAUAUUGAUUAGGAAGACUCCAACAGAAUUGACGCCCUGCUAACUGCCUUGAUUCAAUCAUUGAAUUUGAAGCAAUCCCAUCGGUUACUGCAGCGUGCCCUGACCCGUGACCCCAGUUUGAUGUUCGGCCUGGCACAUGACAUC